UGUUGGAACUAUUCGAAACAACACAGCAAGUUAAAAUAAGGCAGAGGUUUUAACCCAGUCCGUAUCCAACUUGAAAAAGUGGCACCCGAUUCGGGUGUUUUUUU
rnacentral:sRNA from 1 species